AUCUACAAACACUAGUAAAUACUUGUACCCAUAUUUUCCAGGUUUUACCUCGAGAGUUUUUAAUAGUGAUCUUUGCAUGUCGUAGGAGGUCUUCCAUCUUCCUUGUUCCCGAGUACUCCGAUGCAUUUUGGAUAGGACUCGCCGUCCCAGUUCCUCUGGCAGGAUGAUGCUGGAGUCUGCGGCCCUCCACCAGCCACGCAAGCACUUGAUCCAGUGUAAGUCAGUGUCAGUAUAGUUGGGGGUGUCGGGCAGGGUCGGGCCCCCGGAUCAGGUCGCGUGGUUGUUAAAACCUGGGUCACCAGAAGGGCCGCCUCCUUAGCUUCUGAGUCGGCCAGCAGGUUUCCCCCGCUACUGGUGUGUCUGCCCUCUGGUGUCCUGGACAGUGGAUGAUGGUGCCUUGGGCAGCCAGAGGGCCCUCAGGAGUUCAAGGAUCUCUGUUUUGUUUUUAGUAGUUUUUUUCCCUCUGCUGUCAGAAGCCCUCUGUCCCUGUAAAGGGCUCCGUGGACGUGAGCGGCGGCGAGGGCGGACCCGCUGUCGGGGUAGAUGUUGAUUCGUUCACCUUCCCCCACGGUCAGCGCCUUGGCCAGUGCGGUCAGUUCUGCCCGUUGAGCCGACGCUCCGCUGCCAGUGGCUCCGCCCAGACGGUCUCCGUCUCCGAGGUCGCGGCUGCCCCCGCGGAUCUGACUCCUUCUCGGACAAAACUGCUGCUCUUAUCAAGAGCAGACCAACAAAUCAAGGAAACUUUUGCACAGAAAGUAGACUUUUAAUCUUAUACUCUUGUACUUUAAAAUCCAUUUACUUUGAUCUUAGUCUGUCCUGACCACAUCUAAAAUUCCUUUCCAAGGAUUUCCUUUCACAACCCUUUUACACCUUCCUCUGCAUUCAGAAUUUGUCCCAAGCCAUUUCUUUCCAGUCAGUCUCAUUUGGGACAAAAUUACUUUCUUUUACCUUGAACAAAAAUAUAUUCCCAUUCCUUACAUUUUUCUUACAUAUCUCCUUUUCUACAUACAGAGUUGCUUUCUUUAUCAGUCAUCAGUCUUACUUUAGCAGAGUUUUUCCAUUCUUAGGAACCUUAGUGUCCAAUGAAAACUAAGGAGUAACCGAAUUUUGAACACCAGAACUCUUUAGACGGCUAAUUUAUGAAACAGUUAAGUACAAAGCAUGUUCACCAACAGAUUCAAAUCAACGUUUCAGCACUUUUUCCUGUUUGGAAAAGACCUAGAUGUCCGAUGAAUUUAAUUCCAUUUAUCAUCAAAGUGUAACUAAGGUUUCAGGUUACCAAGGACUUUGAAAGGUAUCUUAACAAUUACUUAUGAAAACUUGGAAACAGACAAUUAGCCAUCAGUUUAGCCAAUUUUUUACUAACAAAUUGCAAAAUGAUAACAACUUAUGUGACCUUCAGUAAGCCUCAAUAGCAUAAAAGUUUCAGGCUUAGUAGUGAUAAUUUUCAAGACCUAUUUGCUAUGUCCCAUCUGGAUCCACUUAAAGUCAAUCAAUUUGCUCCCCAUCAUCAGUUUUUAUCUGAGACACUGGUGGGGGAAUCUGGAGGGGGCAGUGUUAAGUAAUUGAUGGUCUUCUUGUUAUUCGUCUUCUAAACUCAGGACAAGCACCUGAAUUGGGUGCCCCUCCUUGUUUAGGAUUUUUGCUCCUUCGGGGUGGAAGCGAAUUUGUGCCCCCAUCUUGGUGAGCAAAUCCUGACCUAACAACGGGUAGGACACUCAGGGAUGACCAUGAAGGAGUGGGAUACCUGGCCCAUGCCGAGAUCCACAAUUCUUUGGGUAGUCCACGAGUACUGUUUGAUGCCCGUGGCCCCUUGCACCUAUGAAGUCUUGCUUGCCAAUUUCCCUUGGGGUUGUAAUAAAACUGAGUGUUGUGCCUCAGUGUCCACUAGGAAUUCAACAGGUUGCCCCUCUACUCCGAGAGUUACCCUGGGCUCGGGGAGGGGUGCCGAACCCUGACUCCCCUAAUCGUCCAGGUCCUCCAUCUCCAAGAUCUUGGCAGGGGCCUUUUGUUAAGACAGUCUUUCACCCAGUGGCCCUUUUCCUUGCAAUGGGCACAUUUGUUCAGUUUAGGGCGCUCCCGAUGGGGACCAAGAAGCCAUCCAAGCUUCUUGAGGUGCCUCUGUCUUUCCCGUGGGUCAUCCAUGGUUGUGGCCAGCAGGAUCUUGACCAGGUUUCAGGUCUACUGGUCGCUUGGUUUGGUUUGUUGCUCUUCUGGACUUUCUCUAUUAUUACAGACUCUUUCUGCUACUAUUACUAAGUCCUGCAAGCUUUUCUCUCCCAGUCUCUCUACUCUUUGCAAUUUCUUUUUAAUGUUGGGAGCCGCCUGGUUAACAAAAGCCGUGAUAAUUGCAGCCUUUGUUUCUGGGGCUUCUGGGUUCAUAGGGGUGUACUGCCUAAAAGCCUCUAUGACUCUCUCUAAGAAGGCUGCUGGACUCUCAUCCUUGCCCUGUCUCACACCAUAUACCUUGGCCAGAUUGGUAGGUUUGCACGUGGCAGCCUGGAGGCCUGCCAUUAGAGUCUGGCGGUGGACCCGGAGUCUCUCCUUACCUUCAGCCGAGUUGUGGUCCCAGGUGGGGCGGGAUAAGGGGAAGGCAGCAUUUCUGAGGUCUGGGUUUUGAGUCGGCUGUCUGUCCUCUCCCAGGACAGACUUCCGGGCUUCCACCUGAUUCGUUCUCUCUCCUCGGUGGUGAAGAGAACCUGCAAGAGCUGUUGGCAGUCCCAAGUAGGCUGGGGUUUUGCAAUUUUGAAACUAUUAUCAAAGGAUGGAGCAAAUUGAGCACAUGAAUAAAUGAUGAUUCUCACUGUUGGAGACAAGAGAUACAGAUAUAAAUAUGGAGCGGGAAGAACCCUAUGAUGAUUGGAAUUGCAGAUGCCAAUAUGAACUCAUUUUUGCACUUCUGACUGAAGCAGCACCAUGACCUGCUUGUGCCUGGCUGUGAAUUGCAUCUGGAUGAGAGAAAUUGGACGCUGGCAAAAGAGUUAUGGAAGAAUUUCAAAAAAGUGGGGUGAAACCAAAUUUGUUUUCCACAUUUGCCUCAGGUUUGCCUGGUGGAGAUUGGAAAAUAAGGCCUCUGGAAACAAUGAAAGGAAUCAUAAUUAAAUAGCCCAGAGAAGAUCUUUAUGCAAUCAUGUAGUUUUCCUUAGAACAGAGCAUGGAUGGUUAGGCCCACGUAGGCACAGAACACAAUACACAAUAUCUGUUUAGAUAAAAGGAAAAAAAUUCUCACUGGUAAAAACGAAAAUAACUGUGGAGAUUUGACGGCCUUUACCAGCAGAGUAGAGGCCCCUGUGUAGGAUUGGAUGGGAUCGGGUUUCGGUGUCCUUCCAGACCCAGGAUUCUGAGAAGAAAGGAUGGUAAUGUGGAGACCAGCAUGGUUUCCAUGGGUACCAGGAGUUGGGAUCGGUUGUAAAAGGAAAGGGGAGAGCUUCACUCAGAUGUAGGGACAAAAAAACGUACCACAGUACAGAACAUGUAGUAGCUGCAUAAUACUGACUAGUUUAUAAAGAAGUAGAGUCUUAGAAGCCAGCUGAACAGGUGACACAGUCUCCCAGUUCUGAUAGGAGACAACUUAAUAGACACAAAUAUAUUGCACAAAACCUCAACACAGGUUUCUGCAGGGAAGGUUUCCACCCAGUCCCUGCUGCUCCCCAAAAGGUCAGGGAACAGAAAUUCCCUAAGUCACUGUUCACUGUGAUUCAGCAUUCCUCAUCCUGUGAAAGGACACAAGUCUGUCUCUUCACUUUAACAGCAAACCCCAGUAGCAUGAGGUGACCUUGGUUAUAGACAAGAAUCAUUGAAUAUGGCAGCACUUGUGGCAGCUGUGACUCCUUCCUUUGGUUAUGGAUCUCAAGCUCCACAAAGUCCUCAGGUGUCCAAAAUGACAGAUGUUCUUUUGAAAGAAUUAAACCAGGAUCAACUCACCCAUCCUCAAAGGGAAUUGACCAUGGUGACUCUUCUGAGAGGCGUUGUUGACUUUUCAGGGGAGCUUGCUGUUCGCCUGCCAGUACAACUUCUCUUCUACUUUUUUCUUUUUCCAUCGGCAGAGUAGCAGCAUCUUAAAGGUCUUCCUGAAGGUUCUGUUGCAGAGGGCAUAGCAAAUGGGGUUGACGGUACUGUUGACAUAGCACAACCAGUAGCCCAAGUGCCACAGGGUGACUGGGACACAUUUGUCACAGAAGGUGGAAACCAGGACCAUUAUGUUAUAAGGGGUCCAGGUGAUGAUGAACGCCAGGAGAAUGGCACUCAAAGUCUGCGCUGCUUUCCUCUCCUUGACAAGGACCAUUCUUUUUCGUUUGGUCAUUUGAUGGCUGAGGUUGGGAUCCAGGCCUUUUGUGGAAGGAUCCUUGGACACUGGGAAGGAGCAGGGCAUGAUUUUAACCUUGUGACAGCUGUUGUUGGCCUCCUGGGUCCCAUCAGCUUUUACCACCAAUUGGAACUUAUAGGCCACACAUUUCUGACUCUUGGAUCUAUGAGCAGCACCUGGGGACAAGAAGUAUUUUUGGGUGUCAUAGUCAUUUUUUUCAGCUUGAGCUUCCACAAAAGUUUCCUUGGUCUCCUCGGCACUGAAUUCUUCCCUUGGGCUUUCCUUGGUCUGACUCUUGUAGACUACUUGGAAGACAGGGUCAGCAGUGGACUUGUCCUCAUCCUCUGAGGAAGGGCAGCUGCUACAGGUAGUGAGCUGCUCAGCUUUGGCCCACUCGGUGCUUGGGCCCAUGGCUUGGGAUGGCUUCCCAGUGGUGGAGGUGCUCCUGUGGGAGGAUGACCAGGAGGCUUCAUUCCUCUCCCUCUGGGCCAGCGUGGGCCGAGGGCAGCUAAAGCAGGAUGUCAGCAGAGCCUUUUGAGCUGGCUUUCUUGGCUCAGCUUCGGCCAUGGAGUCAGAGCCCUGGAGGUCGGCCAGGUCCUUGGUUCGCUUCUCUGUUUCCCGGUAGAUUCGGCAGUAGAGGAUGGUCAUGACAGAAACAGGGAUGUAGAAGGCAGCGAUGGCAGUGCCAAAAGUGAUGGUGGGCUCGGAGAGGAAUUGGAUUUGGCACUCAUCUGGUGGCACUGUCCGCUCCCCAACCAGGUACUGCCAGCAGAGGAUCGCCGGUGCCCAAAGGAUGAAGGAGAUUAGCCAGGCCAGGCCAAUCAUGAUGCCAGCUCUUCUUGGGGUACGCUUGGCCCGAUAGGUCAGAGGUCUUGUGAUAGAAAAGUAACGGUCAAAACUGAUCACCAGAAGGUUCAUGACAGAAGCAUUGCUGGCCACAUAGUCCAGUGCAAGCCAGAGGUCACAAGCCAGACUCCCGAGCACCCAGCGUCCCAUGAGGAUGUAGGUGGUGUAGAGGUUCAUGGAGAAAAUCCCAAUGAUGAGAUCGGCACAGGCCAAGCUGAGCAGGUAAUAGUUGUUAACUGACUUCAGCUGACUGUUGACUUUGAAGGAGAUCAUGACUAAGAUGUUGCCCACAAUGGUGACCAGGCUGACCACAGCAGUCACGGCUGCAAUGGUGAUGAUCUCCCACAACCCAUGGUGUUCCAGAGGCUGGUGACUUACUGGGGUGCCAUUGACAGUGCUGGUGUUGUGAUAAGGUUCCUCUUCCAUCCUUAAAUAGGGUUAAGUCUUGGUUUCUAGACCAUCUCUUUCCUCUCUCACCUCCUCUUGGUCAGCACCUGGAAGAGAGGUAACUGUGUUAACCCCACUCACCAGCAAUGGAUCUCUGCCCCACUCAUUGCUUAUCAUGUGCAAUAGAAUAUUAAGCAUGGCCACACACAUUCAGAGCAGGAUGUGGAAAUCUCUGAAAGCCUUGGUGACAGUCUUGCAGCAGCGCCAUCCCUUUGCUUUCUGGAAGUUACCAGAGCCUGGGAGCCUUUCUUGCACCUGGGGCUGCUGCCCUCUUGUGUUUCCAAUAGGCAAUUUAAAGAAGAGGGGGAAGGAAAGGGAACCGGGUACGUGGGGAGCAAAGAAGAGAAGCAAGCAGGGAAGUUGAAGUCACUCUGGGUUGCGACGACGUUAGGGGCAAACGCUCUGUUUCCUAAGCUCGCAGUGGUUCAGCUAUUAACCAUUACUGAGGCCAUGUUGUGAGGCAGGACCGCAGCACAACACUCCCCCCUGACGUUUGUGCUGGCUUCCCAUGAGCACCAGCUGCUGCUGCUCACCUACCCCCGCUCUUGAGCUAUUUGCCAGGACAGAGGCCUAUCACGCAGGACACGAAAAGACUGUAUUUUCUCCGUGGACAGGAAAGAGAGUGGGGCUGUGUUACAUGGAGGCCUAAGCCACAGCCAUGGAUGCUGCCCUGUGCCCCAUCGAGCCUUGGAGCUGCCGGCCGGGUUUCCCCCAGCUAGGGUCGGCCUUGUCUUGCUGCCCCAGAGUGCUGGACAGACAUCCUGUCUCCCAUGUGCUGCGACACGAGCAAGGCUGCCAGGAUCGUGCAUUGUUCUGGGAGCAGCAGAAAGACACUGAGCCAAGGAGGAGGAGGAUGAACUGUACCAAAUGAGCCUUCCCUGGGACAUCUCUCCAACACCGUAUCGCCUCUCGACCAGUGGCAUCAUUAACUACCACCAAGCAGGAACCCGGGCAUGACCUUACCGCCUGCCCCGCUUACAACUAACCGGUCAUGAGGUCCUAUCAGUUCUCCCAUUACCCGCCUCCUUGGCGCUCAACUUUAUUUAGGCCCUAAUCAUUUGUGGCUGGGACUAUUCCAGUACUUUCCUAAUGGCUCUGCCGAGAAUUUGAAUUCUCCUUUAUAGAACAAUCUUCUGAGCAUAGCGGUUAACAGCAUAGGCUCUGAAGCUGGGCUGCCCAAGGUUCCAAUCCAAUUACUUACAAGCUGUGACGGUGGAAGUUACUUGUCUGUAUCAGAUCCUUUUUUAUCUGUAAAACAGGGCUGACACUAGUACAACUCCAUAAGGCUGCUGGGAGGUUUAGAUGAAGUGUUAUGUAGGCAGUACUAAGAGCCUGCUCUGUCACUGUGUUUAAGGUUGUUUCUCAGCAGUUUUAAUCCUUCAGAGGUUGCCUCUGUCUAGAACGCUCCCGUGUCCCAAUUAUCAACCAGGCAAACUUCUGCUUAACCAUUAGCUCUUGGCUAAAGGGUCUGUUUUUCACAAGGCCUUGGGCUACUUAUUUGGGAGUAUUUGUCUUCCUUUGGGCCUCCACUUUGAACCCUUCUCUGCACUCAGCACACCAGGAGAAUCCUCUAUUUACAGGGUUAUCCUAGGAAAAGUGGAAACUAAAAAAAAAAAAAAAAAAAAAAGAAAAAGAAAGUGGAAACUGACCUGCCUGAAGGCAGGGACCAUGACUUUUUUUUUUUUUUUUUUAAUCUCCAGGCCCAAGCCAUGUGCCUGGCACAAAACAGGCAAUUAGAAGCAAUGAACAGUGUUAAGUAUAUAUGGAUAUCGGAAAGAACUGGGAAGGGUGGGGAAGGAAAGCCACUUGUCUUGCUAUGCUGAUGGAAUGAUGGAAGUUUUAGCUCUUGCUUUUUAAAAUUUUAUGUGGUUUCUGUAAUACAAAGUUAAAAAUGGCUUUCAUGUAUCCAUAUAACCAAUUGCUCUUUUUCCCCUGAUUAAAAGAAUAGACUGGAUAAGGGGGAUCCUUGGGUGGCUCAGCGGUUUAGCGCCUGCCUUUGGUCCAGGGCAUGAUCCUGGAGACCCGGGAUUGAGUCCCACAUUGGGCUC